UACGGGGGGGGCAAGCGUUGUUCGGAAUUACUGGGCGUAAAGGCGCGUAGGCGGCCAUCUAAGUCAGACGUGAAAUCCCCCGGCUCAACCGGGGAACGGGCGCCGAGACGCCGCCUGGAGUGGAGGAGGGGGGCCUGGGAACUUCCGUGGAGCGGUGAAAUGCGUUGAGAUCGGAAGGAACGCCGGCGGCGAAAAGCGAGGCCCUGGACUCCCAACUGACGCUGAAGACGCGAAAGCCAGGGGAGCGAAACGGG
rnacentral:rRNA from 1 species